GACAGAGGGUGCAAACGUUGUUCGGAAUUACUGGGCGUAAAGCGCGUGUAGGCUGCUCUGCAAGUCGGAUGUGAAAGCCCUGGGCUCAACCUAGGAAGUGCAUUCGAAACUGCAGAGCUGGAGUCCUGGAGAGGAAGGCGGAAUUCUCGGUGUAGAGGUGAAAUGCGCAGAUAUCAGGAAGAACACCCGUGGCGAAGGCGGCUCUCUGGGACGGUACUGACGCUGAGACGCGAAAGCGUGGGGAGCGAACAGG
rnacentral:rRNA from 1 species